AGGGAAUCUUCCGCAAUGGACGAAAGUCUGACGGAGCAACGCCGCGUGAGUGAAGAAGGCCUUCGGGUCGUAAAACUCUGUUGCCGGGGAAGAACAAGUGCCGUUCGAACAGGGCGGCGCCUUGACGGUACCCGGCCAGAAAGCCACGGCUAACUACGUGCCAGCAGCCGCGGUAAUACGUAGGUGGCAAGCGUUGUCCGGAAUUAUUGGGCGUAAAGCGCGCGCAGGCGGUUUCUUAAGUCUGAUGUGAAAUCUUGCGGCUCAACCGCAAGCGGUCAUUGGAAACUGGGAGGCUUGAGUGCAGAAGAGGAGAGUGGAAUUCCACGUGUAGCGGUGAAAUGCGUAGAGAUGUGGAGGAACACCAGUGGCGAAGGCGGCUCUCUGGUCUGUAACUGACGCUGAGGCGCGAAAGCGUGGGGAGCAAAC
rnacentral:rRNA from 1 species